GUUGCCAACUUAGUGGAUUUUCCACUAGAUCUGGUGGUUUAGACAUGUGGUUCGGCGAAAAAAUAUUAGUUUUAGUGGCUAGUGGAUUUUUUAGUGGAUUAGAGUCCUUCCAGUUAGCGGUAAGUGACGAAUUUAACCACUAACACAACCGAAUAUGGUUUAUGAGUUACUUGAGCGAAAGAACCAAUAUAAAGUUUAUUUAUUAGUAAUACAUACAAUAAGUUUCAUAUUGAGUAAUAAGAUCAAGAUGCCUAAGCCACAGUACACCCAAAAGUUUCGUGAUUGUUGGUUACGUGACCCAGUUUUAAGGGAUUGGUUGCAAAUAGUCGAAAGCACUGGUGGUCCAGUUGCUAAGUGAAAAUUAUGUGGUAUAUUAUUAAGGAAUCAUUAUUAAAAAUAAUUGAAUAAUUUACCCUGUCUCUAGCACGUCUUUACCUACGACGCGGCGCUAAAGAGGGGGAAAAAACAUCCCACGAUCUGAUUGCACUGAUUCGGCUUUGGGUUGUCUAGUGAUUCUAUAGUCUCUGCUUACCCCGGUGGGAAAUAGGCGUGAGGUUAUGUAUGUAUGUAUGUAUUUUAUCUAGUGAAAUUCUGGUGGUUUGAAAGACCGCUCAGUUUUAGUGGUUUCUGGUGGUUUGCACGGCCGCAUUUGGUGGGCUGGUGAAAAUAAAGUUGGCAACACUGCGCGCGCGGGACCGCCCACUUCUCGACCGACUCCGCCGCCGCCGCACGCGCGCUUGUUUAUUAAUUCGUCAUAUAAUUAUUUCGCUGUAAUCUAAACCGACAACUGGAGGAGGGCAUGCUGGUCGUCGUCAAGGAGGAGGACGCCCCGCCAGCCCGCUGGACCCUGGGCAGAAUAAUACACCUUCACCCUGGAGCAGACGACGUCGCGAGAGUUGCAGAUAUCAAAACCCAAGCAGGCACCAUAAGAAGGGCCUUCAAUCGAAUAUGCCCUCUUACAUGACCGAGGCUCUCACACUUGGCCCCCGGCACACAUGACCCGGCUCAUAACACAGAUGACUCGCAGACAACAUAAUCAGAAAGCAGAGAGCUACUUCAGAAUGCAGACAGCUAAAUCAGAAAGCAGAGAGCUACUUCAGAAUGCAGACAGCUACAUCAGAAAGCAGAGAGCUACUUCAGAAUACUGAUAGCCAUUUCAGAAUACAGAUGGCCUUCACACAAUGCACAUCACGAGGCCUUCACUCUUGGCCCCGGCAGAAUGUUGGCAACACCAACACGCGCGCGCAUGCGCGAUACAAAGGACCAGAAGACAGGAGCGCCGCGCGCGCGGGACCGCCCACUUCUCGACCGACUCCGCCGCCGCCGCACGCGCGCUUGUUUAUUAAUUCGUCAUAUAAUUAUUUCGCUGUAAUCUAAAGUAAUUAAAUACAUUUUUAUACUUGUA